rnacentral:rRNA from 1 species
CAGUCGCCGCGGUAAUACGAAGGGUGCAAGCGUUACUCGGAAUUACUGGGCGUAAAGCGUGCGUAGGUGGUGGUUUAAGUCCGUUGUGAAAGCCCUGGGCUCAACUUGGGAAUUGCAGUGGAUACUGGCUCGCUAGAGUGUGUCAGAGGAUGGUGGAAUUCCCGGUGUAGAGGUGAAAUUCGUAGAUAUUCGGAAGAACACCAGUGGCGAAGGCGGCUUACUGGCUCAUACUGGACGCUGAGGUGCGUAAGCGUGGGGAGCAAACAGGAUUAGAUACCCCUGUAGUCCCUGUCUCUUAUAC